rnacentral:rRNA from 1 species
UACGUAGGGUGCAAGCGUUGUCCGGAAUUAUUGGGCGUAAAGAGCUCGUAGGCGGUCUGUCGCGUCUGCUGUGAAAAACUCGGGGCUUAACCCCGGGCCUGCAGUGGGUACGGGCAGACUAGAGUGCGGUAGGGGAGACUGGAAUUCCUGGUGUAGCGGUGAAAUGCGCAGAUAUCAGGAGGAACACCGGUGGCGAAGGCGGGUCUCUGGGCCGUAACUGACGCUGAGGAGCGAAAGCGUGGGGAGCGAACAGG